AGUGAACGCUGGCGGUAGGCCUAACACAUGCAAGUCGAACGGCAGCACAGGAGAGCUUGCUCUCUGGGUGGCGAGUGGCGGACGGGUGAGGAACACAUCGGAAUCUACUCUGUCGUGGGGGAUAACGUAGGGAAACUUACGCUAAUACCGCAUACGACCUACGGGUGAAAGCAGGGGAUCUUCGGACCUUGCGCGAUUGAAUGAGCCGAUGUCGGAUUGGCUAGUUGGCGGGGUAAAGGCCCACCAAGGCGACGAUCCGUAGCUGGUCUGAGAGGAUGAUCAGCCACACUGGAACUGAGACACGGUCCAGACUCCUACGGGAGGCAGCAGUGGGGAAUAUUGGACAAUGGGCGCAAGCCUGAUCCAGCCAUACCGCGUGGGUGAAGAAGGCCUUCGGGCUGUAAAGCCCUUUUGUUGGGAAAGAAAUCCAGCUGGCUAAUACCCGGUUGGGAUGACGGUACCCAAAGAAUAAGCACCGGCUAACUUCGUGCCAGCAGCCGCGGUAA
rnacentral:rRNA from 1 species